rnacentral:rRNA from 1 species
GACGAACGCUGGCGGCGUGCCUAAUACAUGCAAGUCGAGCGGAGUGAUGUUGAAAGCUUGCUUUCAACAUCACUUAGCGGCGGACGGGUGAGUAACACGUAGGCAACCUACCCUCUAGACUGGGAUAACUACCGGAAACGGUAGCUAAUACCGGAUAAUUCCUUGACCCUCCUGGGCUUAGGAUGAAAGGCGGAGCAAUCUGCUACUAGAGGAUGGGCCUGCGGCGCAUUAGCUAGUUGGUGGGGUAAUGGCCUACCAAGGCGACGAUGCGUAGCCGACCUGAGAGGGUGAACGGCCACACUGGGACUGAGACACGGCCCAGACUCCUACGGGAGGCAGCAGUAGGGAAUCUUCCGCAAUGGGCGAAAGCCUGACGGAGCAACGCCGCGUGAGUGAUGAAGGUUUUCGGAUCGUAAAGCUCUGUUGCCAGGGAAGAACGUCCGGUAGAGUAACUGCUACCGGAGUGACGGUACCUGAGAAGAAAGCCCCGGCUAACUACGUGCCAGCCGCCGCGGUAAAAC